rnacentral:rRNA from 1 species
GGUUGAUCCUGCCAGUAGUCAUAUGCUUGUUUCAAAGAUUAAGCCAUGCAGGUCUAAGUAUGAACAUACUCAUUGUGAAACUGCGAAUAGCUCAUUACAACAGUUAUUAUUUGAACGUCUGUCACUAUACAUGGAUAUCCAUGGUAAUUCUGGUGCCAAUACAUGCCCAGAGUCGCUUAGUUAGUGAUACAGCAUAAGUGAACCAAAACAGAGACUUCUCUAAAGGUGAACGUUAUGAUGUUUUUAUCGAUCUUUCGAUUCGACGUGGAGGUUUCUGCCCUAUCAGCUAUCGU